AUUCUGGAUCAUAUGCAGCGCUGGAGAUGAGCAUAUUCCAGGGAAUAUUGGCCUUUUGGACCAGACCCAAGCCCUGAGGUGGGUCAAGGAGCAUAUUCAAAACUUUGGAGGAAACCCAGAUUUGGUCACCAUAUUUGGUGAAUCUGCUGGUGGUAUCAGUGUCUCACUUCUGCUUCUGUUUCCCUUGUCUGAUGGCCUGUUUCAUCGAGCCAUUGCUGAGAGUGGAACAGCUGCAAUGGAUGUGCUUUGGAACAAUCCUGUACCAGUGAUGCAGGCCGUAGCAAAUGCCUCAGGCUGUAGCCUGGAAAGCACAGAGAAGAUUGCUGCAUGCAUGAAGAACCUUGAUAUUGGCACCAUAUUGGCAUUUGACAAGGAUCCAUUUUUGAGAUUUCCUGUGAAUGCUGAUGGGCACUUCCUGACUAAACCUGUGCCUGAGUUGUUCCAGAAUCAUGAACUCAUUACUAUACCAAUCAUGACUGGGGUUAAUAAUCAUGAAGGUUUUGUUGUUGCUGAUCACUUUGGACCUCUAAAUUGGACAGAAGGAAUGAGUCGAGAGCAGGUUGCGAAGAUGCUGUCCAUUUUUUACCCCCCUGUGAGAUCCUCUUUGCCUGAUAUGUCGAUGUUGCUUUUUCCUCCGGAGGAUUUUCUUUUAUUUAUUUAUUUUUU